rnacentral:rRNA from 1 species
GACGAACGCUGGCGGCGUGCUUAACACAUGCAAGUCGAACGAUGAAGCUGGAGCUUGCUCCGGUGGAUUAGUGGCGAACGGGUGAGUAACACGUGAGCAAUCUGCCCUUGACUCUGGGAUAACUGCGGGAAACUGUAGCUAAUACCGGACACGAGGCUCGAAGGCAUCUUCGUGUCUGGAAAGAAUUUCGGUCAAGGAUGAGCUCGCGGCCUAUCAGCUGGUUGGUGAGGUAAUGGCUCACCAAGGCGACGACGGGCAGCCGGCCUGAGAGGGUGACGGGCCACGCGGGGACGGAGGCACGGCCCGGACUCGUACGGGAGGCAGCAGUGGGGAAUAUUGCACAAUGGGCGAAAGCCUGAUGCAGCAACGCCGCGUGAGGGAUGAAGGCCUUCGGGUUGUAAACCUCUGUUAGCAGGGAAGAAGCGAAAGUGACGGUACCUGCAGAAAAAGCACCGGCUAACUACGUGCCAGCCGCCGCCGUAA